rnacentral:rRNA from 1 species
AUACGUAGGUGGCGAGCGUUGUCCGGAAUUACUGGGUGUAAAGGGCGUGUAGGCGGGUUGUCAAGUCAGAUGUGAAAUUCCAGGGCUCAACUCUGGAGCUGCAUCUGAAACUGAUGAUCUUGAGUACUGGAGAGGGAAGCGGAAUUCCUAGUGUAGCGGUGAAAUGCGUAGAUAUUAGGAGGAACACCAGUGGCGAAGGCGGCUUUCUGGACAGUAACUGACGCUGAGGCGCGAAAGCGUGGGGAGCGAACAGGAUUAGAUACCCUGGUAGUCCACGCCGUAAACGAUGGAUACUAGGUGUGAGGGGGAUUACCUCUUCGUGCCGCAGUUAACACAAUAAGUAUCCCACCUGGGGAGUACGGCCGCAAGGUUGA